rnacentral:rRNA from 1 species
CCCUACGGGAGGCAGCAGUGGGGAAUAUUGCACAAUGGGGGGAACCUUGAUGCAGCAACGCCGCGUGGGUGAAGAAGUACUCCGGUAUGUAAAGCCCUGUCAGCAGGGAAGAAAAUGACGGUACCUGACCAAGAAGCCCCGGCUAACUACGUGCCAGCAGCCGCGGUAAUACGUAGGAGGCAAGCGUUAUCCGGAUUUACUGGGUGUAAAGGGAGCGUAGACGGCGAGGCAAGUCUGGAGUGAAAGCCCGUGGCCCAACCACGGGACUGCUUUGGAAACUGGCAUGCUGGAGUGCCGGAGGGGCA